rnacentral:rRNA from 1 species
AAAAAGCGCCGGCUAACUACGUGCNAGCAGCCGCGGUAAUACGUAGGGCGCAAGCGUUAUCCGGAAUUAUUGGGCGUAAAGAGCUCGUAGGCGGUUUGUCGCGUCUGCUGUGAAAUCUGGGGGCUCAACCCCCAGCCUGCAGUGGGUACGGGCAGACUAGAGUGCGGUAGGGGAGAUUGGAAUUCCUGGUGUAGCGGUGGAAUGCGCAGAUAUCAGGAGGAACACCGAUGGCGAAGGCAGAUCUCUGGGCCGUAACUGACGCUGAGGAGCGAAAGGGUGGGGAGCAAACAGGCUUAGAUACCCUGGUAGUCCACCCCGUAAACGUUGGGAACUAGUUGUGGGGUCCAUUCCACGGAUUCCGUGACGCAGCUAACGCAUUAAGUUCCCCGCCUGGGGAGUACGGCCGCAAGGCUAAAACUCAAAGGAAUUGACGGGGACCCGCACAAGCGGCGGAGCAUGCGGAUUAAUUCGAUGCAACGCGAAGAACCUUACCAAGGCUUGACAUAUACGAGAACGGGCCAGAAAUGGUCAACUCUUUGGACACUCGUAAACAGGUGGUGCAUGGUUGUCGUCAGCUCGUGUCGUGAGAUGUUGGGUUAAGUCCCGCAACGAGCGCAACCCUCGUUCUAUGUUGCCAGCACGUAAUGGUGGGAACUCAUGGGAUACUGCCGGGGUCAACUCGGAGGAAGGUGGGGAUGACGUCAAAUCAUCAUGCCCCUUAUGUCUUGGGCUUCACGCAUGCUACAAUGGCCGGUACAAAGGGCUGCAAUACCGCGAGGUGNAGCGAAUCCCAAAAAGCCGGUCCCAGUUCGGAUUGAGGUCUGCAACUCGACCUCAUGAAGUCGGAGUCGCUAGUAAUCGCAGAUCAGCAACGCUGCGGUGAAUACGUUCCCGGGUCUUGUACACACCGCCCGUCAAGUCAUGAAAGUCGGUAACACCUGAAGCCGGUGGCCUAA